rnacentral:rRNA from 1 species
AGCAGCCGCGGUAAUUCCAGCUCCAAUAGCGUAUAUUAAAGUUGUUGCAGUUAAAAAGCUCGUAGUUGAAUUUCGGGAUCAGUACGCUGGUCGUGCCUCCGGUAUGAACUGGUGUCACUGGUUCCUCCCUUCUGAAGAACCAUUAUGCCAUUAACUUGGUGUGGUGGGAAAUCAGGACUGUUACUUUGAAAAAAUUAGAGUGUUUAAAGCAGGCUCACGCUUGAAUACAUUAGCAUGGAAUAAUGAAAUAGGACGUUGAUCCUAUUUUGUUGGUUUCUAGGAUUGACGUAAUGAUUAAUAGGGAUAGUUGGGGGCAUUAGUAUUCAAUUGUCAGAGGUGAAAUUCUUGGAUUUUAUUGAAGACUAACUACUGCGAAAGCAUUUGCCAAGGAUGUUUUCAUUAAUCAAGAACGAAAGUUAGGGGAUCGAAGACGAUCAGAUACCGUCGUAGUCUUAACCAUAAGCUAUGCCGACUAGGGAUCGGAUGAUGUUAAUUUUUUUAAUGA